CAUUAGAUGGCUGAAAGCAAGCAAUGGUCUCUUAAACCACAUAAUAGUAGUUAACGCCUACUUCUAAUG
rnacentral:tRNA from 1 species